AUUUGGCGUGGCUGUCACAUGUGGUGAUUUGGGAAAUGGGACACAAAAACACAGCUCCUGAGGGUAGUGUGGAGGAGGAGGUGCUUACAGUGCCUGCUGGCUGCAUUUGGCAAGGUACGAGAGAUAAAGAUGAGCUUAACUAAAACAGUUAUUUUAUUCACAAGUAGGAAGGGAAAGGGCGGCACUUCCACAACCUAAAAGGUUCCAAGAAGCAAUAGGAAAGACAAAUUAGGAAACACUUUUGAAAACAAAGGCCGAUGGGAAAACUUAGCCUAACAGAAACAGAGUGAAGGGCCCAGCUGAUAGGCUGUUUCAAACCCCAGGUGGCUUGAAAGGUUUCAGAGUGGAGGCUAAGGGAAGGUGUGGGGUCCCUGGAAUACUUGCAAGUGAUCAAAACCAUAAAGAUGUAUUUAUGCAAAUGUGUGUGCUUACAUGGGUUUAUGUGCAUCAUAUGUGUGUUGUACCUGCAGAAGCCAGUACAGGGCAUUGGCCCCUGUAUCUGCAACUACAGAUGACUGUGAGAGGCCGUGUAUGUGGAUUGGGAGCUGAGUCUAGGUCUUUUGCAAGAGCGGUAAGUGUUCUUAACCACAGAGUCGUCAUCUCUGCAUGCUCAAAACUCGGUGAAGGUGUGGGGUAUCUAGAAUGCUUUCAAUUGAUCCCAAAUUUAAAUGGAAGAGAAAAAUAAGAUGAGAUCUCACCCCCCCCCCCCCAUAUAAUACAUGUUGUGCAGUUUUGUUUUCUGUCAACUUGAUACAAACUAGAGUUACCUAGGUAGAGGAACCCUCAACUGAAGGAUUGCCUCCACCAGAUAGGACCCUCGAGCAUGUUUGCUGGGCUUUCUAUUGCCGAAUGAUUGAUGUGGGAGGGCCCAGGUCACCAGGUACAGUGCCACCCCUGGGCAGUUGGUCCUGAGUUGUUUAAGAAAGCAGGCUAAGUAGGUCAUGAGGAGCAAACCUGAAAGCAGUGUUCCUCCAUGGCCUCUGCUUCGGUUCCUGCCUCCAGACUCCUGCCUGAGUUCCUUUCCCCAGCUUCUCGCAGUGAUGGACUGUGACAUAAAAAAAAAAAAAACAAAAACAAAAACAAAAAACAAAAAACAAAAAACAAAAAAACCCAAAAAACAAAAAAACCCAAAAAACAAAAACACUUGCCUCCUCCAAGUCUCUUUAUUACAGCAAUGGAAACCAAAUCAAGACGAGGCUCAAGGCGUGUAUUAUGAACGUAAGGGGAGGUGUGCCGGGCUGGGAAAAGUGACCCUCCUGCACAAUAGGGACGUAAACAGGCAGGUCAGAGGUAGUCUCUGCUGUGUCCACCACAGAGAUGAAGCUGCAGGAAGACCACCUAGCCCCAGGUCUCUAGAGAAACAGGAACAUACAAGGAGAUGAACUUGCUUAGCUAUGGGGAAAGCCACCAGACCCCGGAGGCAAGAGCGUGACAGAGUAAUAGAGAUGUCGUUGGAGGUUGCAUGAGGGCUGGAGGAGCAAGAUGAAGCCCCGGUGCCUCAUGGGAACCCAAAUAUCUCAGUGAGAGCCUUUUCUCCACUGCCUAGAAAGAUAGGGAGACUCUUGAGAGUUUCUUUUGUGUUUCCCAGAGGAGGGAAAGAACUAUUCAAAAAGGCUACGAGGCUAUCGACACACAGGCUGGUCCUUUGCAUCUCUCCUUCAGAACAAAAGUCUUAUUUUGCAGAGAAAUGGGCAUGAAAAACCUGCACUUAAGACACUAGGAAAAUCUACCGCAGCUGGGAUGAAACGGCAGGGGAAAAAAUCCUCUAGCUCAGGGAAAAGAGCUGGAAAGGCACUCAUAUCAGAACCUGUAAGCAGGGCCUUUAGAACCUGUGCCUGCUCAGUUACAAUAGAGAUAUUUGAAGCUCCUUGUACCCCGGGGACGCCAUUAUGACAAGCAACUUCUAAGUUAGCCUACUUUCCGACGAGAAGAGACACGCACCUAAACCCUACUUUAUAGCCCAGCAGAAAGAAAGGUGUGUCCACGUCUACCUCAGGCAGUGUCCAGGGUGCCAGUCCACAAUAAGGAUGGCACACAGAAAGGAAGAGUGACCACCACACAAGUGACGGAAAAGGUGCACAGAGCGUAAGAUCUAAGGGGUCGUUGCUGGAAAGGGUGGGAGCUCUAAGAAAGAAGCGAGAAGGGGCUAUAAGAAAAAAAGCCAGGAGAGGGAUGGGGGCGGAGCACUAAGAAGAAAGCAAAUAGCAGCCCUUAGAAGGAGCGCAGCCACACAUGAAGACUGUUAUAGGCUCGUGAGGGACCAGGAAACCUCACAGCAGAGUGAACUUGAAGACAGGCCAGAAAGUACCACCUAGGAAAAAUACAAGGAUACAGGAGUUGGGGGCAAUGUGAACCAGUCUAUGGUAUGCCCUGCAGUAAUCUUGGGAGGACAAGACAGAGAGGGUAGGGCAGACAAGAUGUUUGAAGAAACAAUAACUAAAUAAAUAACUAUAGAUCUGAAUAUAUUAACUAACUAAUACAAUAUCGAAAUAUAAUAACUAAAUAAAUAACUUCAGAUCCAAAAAUUUCAGACAUUAAAUGCACCUACCCACAAAAGUCAGAACAAAACAAAAACCAAGACAAAUAAAUCAAGUAGACAUCUUACAUUCCAUCCACUGAGAACAACACAAAAUCCAAGGGGUAUAUCACAUAUUAAAACAAACCAAGGGUACUUACCAUCAGAAACCGGGUGAGCCAGAAGAAAAUGGGGUGGCAGCCUCAUAAUGGUUUAAAAAUGGAAUUCUCUACUCAGUGAAAUUUUUUUUUCAAAAUAUGUAAGACAUUUUUAGAAAACAAACAAACAAACAAACAGAAUUAGGGACGUUAGAGGGUAUGGAGGAGGGAUUUGGCAGGUGAUACACGAUUUGGAAGUGUUUGGGAAAGGGAACAAGUAAAACCAGAGACCUGUUCUCCUUUAAGAUGUAACCCAAGCGUUUGGCUGUAUAGAGGUAUACAUUGUAUGAUGAGGAUAUCACACCCACAUCCCUGGCUCCCCCUCACUCUACUAGCCCCUUUGUCGCCCUAGACAGUCGAUCCUCUACUUUCAUGUCAUGCGCACAUCUGUAUAAAAUCUAGGAUCCAUUAGUUGAGAUUGGCUUAAAUUGCUAAUUAUGUCUCUCUUCAGUUUUGUUUAUUUUCUUACAAAUGACAUAACUUUGUUCUUUUUUUAUGGGUGAUAAAUAAUUUUUCUUUA
rnacentral:lncRNA from 1 species